rnacentral:piRNA from 1 species
UAAAAAGCAGCCACGUCUGGCCUGUACACGU